rnacentral:misc_RNA from 1 species
GAUGAAGAACGUAGCGAAAUGCGAUAAGUAAUGUGAAUUGCAGAAUUCAGUGAAUCAUCGAGUCUUUGAACGCACAUUGCGCCCCCUGGUAUUCCGGGGGGCAUGCCUGUCCGAGCGUCAUUGCUGCCCUCAAGCACGGCUUGUGUGUUGGGCCUCCGUCCUCCUGCCGGGGGACGGGCCCGAAAGGCAGCGGCGGCACCGCGUCCGGUCCUCGAGCGUAUGGGGCUUCGUCACCCGCUCUUGUAGGCCCGGCCGGCGCUUGCCGACACAUCAAUCUUUUUUCCAGGUUGACCUCGGAUCAGGUAGGGAUACCCGCUGAACUUAAGCAUAUCAAUAAGCGGAGGA